rnacentral:rRNA from 1 species
GGCGUAGGGCGCGAGCGUUGUCCGGAUUUAUUGGGCGUAAAGAGCUCGUAGGCGGCUUGUCACGUCGGAUGUGAAAGCCCGAGGCUUAACCUCGGGUCUGCAUUCGAUACGGGCUAGCUAGAGUGUGGUAGGGGAGAUCGGAAUUCCUGGUGUAGCGGUGAAAUGCGCAGAUAUCAGGAGGAACACCGGUGGCGAAGGCGGGACUCUGGGCCGAUACUGACGCUGAGGAGCGAAAGCGUGGGGAGCAAACAGG